GAUAAACCAAAUCAUGGCAAUCAGUGGAUGCCUUGGCGUCAUCAGGCGAUGAAGGACGCAGCACGCUGCGAAAAGCUUCGGCGAGCCGCUAGCAGGCUUUGACCCGGAGGUGUCCGAAUGGGGCAACCCACCAGCACUCAAAAGCUGGUACUUCCAUGCGAAUUCAUAAGCAUGGUUGUGCAAUACGCGGAGAAGUGAAACAUCUCAGUAUCCGCAGGAAGAAAGCGAAGCGAUUCCGUAAGUAGUGGCGAGCGAAAGCGGAACAGCCCAAACCGGAGGGAUUUAUCCCGACGGGGUAGCGGGACCAAUUUUAGGACUCUUAAAACCUAGACGAACGGCAUGGAAAUGCCGGCCAAAGAGGGUGAUAGGCCCGUAGUCGAAAGGUUUGAGAGCCGUUUGGUAUCCCAAGUAGCACGAUGCACGUGAAACUUCGUGUGAAUCUGCGCCGACCACGGCGUAAGGCUAAAUACUCGAUGACGACCGACAGUGAACUAGUACCGCGAGGGAAAGGUGAAAAGCACCCCUGUUAGGGAGUGAAAUAGUAACUGAAACUGAUUGCCUACAAGUCAGUAGAAGCCGCCUUGUGCGGUGACUGCCUGCCUUUUGUAUAAUGAGUCUGCGAGUUAUUGUCUGUAGCAAGCAUAAGUCGUUCAGCGACCCAUGCGCAGCGAAAGCGGAGUCCGAAUAGGGCGCAAGUUUCAGGCAAUAGACCCGAAGGGGGAGGUGAUCUAACCAUGGCCAGGAUGAAGCCUCGGUAAAACGAAGUGGAGGUCCGAACUCGUCAACCUUGAGAAGUUGUGAGAUGAGUUGUGGUUAGGAGCGAAAGACUAAUCAAACCCCCUGAUAGCUGGUUCUUUCCGAAAUAUAUUUGGGUAUAGCGUCCGGUGCUGAUCCGCGGGGGUAGAGCACUAAAUAAGCUAGGGGCCCGACAGGGCUACUGAACUUAAUUAAACUCCGAAUACCGCGGAGUGAAGCCGGGCAGUCAGACGGUGGGGAUAAGCUUCAUCGUCGAGAGGAGAAGAAUCCAGACCAUUGGUUAAGGUCCCAAAACGCCGCUUAGUGUGAAAGGAUGUGGUUUUACAUAGACAAUGGGGAUGUUGGCUUAGAGGCAGCCAUCAUUUAAACAGUGCGUAACAGCUGACCCAUCGAGUGAAAUUGCGCCGAAAAUGAUCGGGACUGAAGCGGUGUACCGAAGCUAUGGGUUGAGCGAAAGCUCAGCAGUAGGAAAGCGUUCCAAAUGCAGCGAAGGGGAAGCGCAAGCGACUCUGGAGCGUUUGGAAGUGAGAAUGCAGACAUAAGUAGCGAUAAACUUGGUUAAACUCCAAGUCGCCGAAAUCCCAAGGUUUCCUGGGCAAGGCUCGUCCUCUCAGGGUUAGUCGGGGCUAAGGUGAGGCCGUAAGGAAUAACCGAUGCACAACUGGUAACAUAUUCCAGUACCGAUGUUAGAGCGUUAUCAACAGAGUAGUACGAAACAAAGAUUGGUCCGAGAGGCAUUGAUUUCUCUUGUAAGCGUCGCGGUGUAGCGGAAGGCAAAUCCUCCGCUUUUUAGCCGUGGCGCGAUGCAUAGUUCCGGCCUCGGCCGGGGCAAUGGACACAUUUAGGUUUCCAAGAAACACUACGCUGUGAGUUCUAACGUCGCCCGUACCGUAAACCGACACAGGUGGGAUAGAUGAAUAUUCUUAGGCGCGUGAGUUAAAUCUCUCCAAGGAACUCGGCAAAAUAGCCCCGUACGUUAGCCAGAAGGGGCGCCCAUUUAUGGGUCGCAGUGAAUUGGGUCAACCGACUGUUUAGCUAAAACACAGCUCUCUGCGAAGUCGCAAGACAACGAAUAGGGAGUGACACGUGACCAAUGCGGAAAGGUGAACAGCUUGGGUGCAAGCUCAGGCUCUAAGCCCCCGUGAAUGUCGGCCGUAACUAUAACGGUCCUAAGGUAGCGAAAUUCCUUGUCGGGUAAGUUCCGACCCGCACGAAUCGUGUAACGAGUUGACCGCUGUCUCGGAGAGAUGCUCAGCGAAAUUGUAGUAGCGGUGAAGAUGCCGCUUACCCGCAGCAGGACGGAAAGACCCUAUGCACCUUUACUGUAAGCUGGUAUUGUCACUUGACUUUCAAUGCGUAGAAUAGGUGGGAGACUUUGAUGCCCGGUUCUAGGAUCGGGCGGAGUCGCAAUAUGAAAUACCACUCUUUGUUGGUUAGGUGUCUAACCCGCUGCCCUAAUCGGGCACGGGGACAGUGCUAGCAGGUCAGUUUUUCUGGGGCGGAAUCCUCCCAAAGAGUAACGGAGGAUUGCGAAGGUUCCCCUCAGCCUGGUUGGUAAUCAGGCUUUAGAGCGCAUUGGUAUAAGGGAGCUUUACUGUGAGACCAACAAGUCGAUCAGUUGCGAAAGCAGGCCAAAGUGAUCCGGUGGUUGAAUGUGGAAUCGCCAUCGCUCAUAGGACAAAAGGUACGCUAGGGAUAACAGGCUGAUCGCGCCCAAGCGUUCAUAGCGACGGCGCGGUUUGGCACCUCGAUGUCGACUCAUCACAUCCUGGGGCUGGAGAAGGUCCCAAGGGUUCGGCUGUUCGCCGAUUAAAGUGGUACGCGAGUUGGGUUCAGAACGUCGUGAGACAGUUCGGUCCUCUAUCCGCUGUGGGCGUCUGAGACUUGAGGGGUUCAUUCUUUAGUACGAGAGGACCGAGAAUGACGCACCUCUGGUGUUCCGGUUGUCGUAUCAACGGCAGCGCCGGGUAGCUAUGUGCGGAAGAGAUAAGCGCUGAAAGCAUCUAAGCGCCAAGCUCAUCCCAAGAUAAGGUCUCGUUGCCCCGCAAGGGGCGAAAGGAUCCAGGUAGACCACCUGGUUGAUAGGCCAAAUGUGUAAAUACAGUAAUGUGUUUAGCUUACUGGUACUAAUGAUCCUAAUAGGUUUAAGUU
rnacentral:rRNA from 1 species